AACAACAUCAAUAUUAUUUAAGAUGGUAACUAGAUUAUGUGAUAUAAU
rnacentral:guide_RNA from 1 species